UUUGAAGGUUUCUUGGCUUACCUGUGGUCUUAACCUUACCUGACCUUUGGUUCUGCGCAGAUCCUCCUCCGAUGCCCCCUGCUGGCGAGAGGAAGAACGGCAGCGAAUGGACCGACGUCAAGAUCUGAGCUCCCUUGAGGGGCCCACCAUGGGACCCCGGCAUGGCACGAAGGGAAUCCUGAGAUUGGUGUGGCUGCAAACAUCCCCUCCUGCACCUCCUUCUGGUUUCCUGGCCGGGCACUUCAAUGAGUCGAAAGCGGGACCCCCAAACAUGCCGAUCUGUGUUGGAUUGGGUCACCUUGCCAGGGCUGAGGCAGGGUUGCCAGGAGGGGACAAAGCAGGACGAUGGAAGGUGAGUUGGGACCUAAUGUGAGACACAGAGUCGACUAAGGGAGCUUAAUAAUAGCCUCAUAAUGUCAUAAAAGGGCCCCCGGUGGUGCAGUGUGUUAAAGCGCUGAGCUGCUGAACUUGCGGACCAAAAGGUCGCAGGUUCAAAUCCGGGGAGUGGAAUGAGCACCCAUUGUUAGCCGCAGUUUCUGCCAACCUAGCAGUUCGAAAACAUGCAAAUGUGAAUAAUAAUAAUAAUAAUAAUAAUAAUAAUAAUAAUAAUAAGAAGAAGAAGAAGAAGAAGAAGAAGAAAAUCGCACAGACAGACUACAAACAGAGGCACAACCAUGUGGCCCAAAUGAUUCAUUGGAACGUAUGCCUCAAGUACCACCUCCCAGCAGCAAAGAACUGGUGGGAUCACAAACCUGCAAAAGUCUUGGAAAAUGAACACACAAAGAUACUGUGGGACUUCCGAUUCCAGACUGACAAAGUUCUGGAACACAACACACCAGACAUCACAGUUGUGGAAAAGAAAAAGGUUUGGAUCAUUGAUGUUGCCAUCUC
rnacentral:lncRNA from 11 species